GUACGUGCUCCGGGGUCGGUGCAAUUCCGAACCGGCGGUGACAGUCCGCGACCCGGCCCGGCCCUGACGGCGGGACGGUUGACCUGGUGGAACUCCGGGACCGACGGUGAAAGUCCGGAUGGGAGGCAGCACGUGG
rnacentral:ncRNA from 2 species